CAAGAGACUCACACCAAAGCGCCACAAUUUAGCCCCGAAGUUUGACUCGCAUCACUGCAGAUGAUCAAGAGCCUUUAAACAUAUACCGCAGUUAUUGAACACGCAGUGGGACUUUGUCACGGGAAACUACAGGAGAAUUGCAAACUUAAACCACAACAAGACGAACUUGAUUGAGCAAGUGUCACUGCGGACCAGGACCGAAUCAAAUCCAACAAGUCAUCGCAACAUUCUCAAGUCGACAGAAAGUUAAGUACCGCAUCAUUUAGAAUGACCAGCACCGAAGAGGAACUAAAGUUUCCGGUCAAGUCAAAGCAUUCCGGCUAACAACUGGCGUUAGCAGUUAGCCCACUUCCGCACUCACCGAUAAUCAUGGUCUCAUCGGGAAUCUCCUCGAUGAAACAUUUCUUCUCCGUCUCUCCGAUAUGAAAGUAGAGAGACGAGACCAAAAGGGGGAAAAGGUUCACAAACGCAAACGACAGCACCGUUUUUCGGAUUAUCAGACACGCCAUCCUGCUAACACAGACUUCCACUGAGUCUGCGCGGCGAUAACAAGGCCACGUCACUGGUGGCUGGGUUCACGCACGCACAUGCGUAAUGUGCUCGUCACUGCCCUGUGUGCCACCCCGACCUGAUCUGGCACCCGGAAGUAACGUUUAUAAUGGGGGCGAGAGGUUGCGACACCAGCCGUGUUCAUAAAGAUACAAGUGUAGCUUAAUUUAAUGAAUACACCGUUGAGGCCUGCGAUGUCUGUUAUGUACUUCUAAUGACGCAUGUUCCCAUAUUGAACACAGCAGAAGUUAUCAUCAUGCUGCCAGUUGAAGUAGUAGAGGGAAGCAACACACAUUACAUUGUCUCAUCACAAUGGCUCCAGUGUCUUAAUGGACUAACCAUUGCCCUUUGUAGGUACAUUUGUAAUCGUCAGGUGAUUUAAACAUGCAGUCUAUCUUAACACCACUUGGGUGUGCUGUUUAACUCCUGUUGUUGGUGCUACUAUCUAUCUAUCUAUCUAUCUAUCUAUCUAUCUAUCUAUCUAUCUAUCUAUCUAUCUAUCUAUCCAUCCAUCCAUCCAUCCAUCCAUCCAUCCAUCCAUCCAUCCAUCCAUCCAUCCAUCCAUCCAUCCAUCUAUCUAUCUAUCUAUCUAUCUAUCUAUCUAUCUAUCUAUCUAUCUAUCUAUCUAUCUAUCUAUCUAUCUAUCUAUCUAUCUAUCUAUCAUUUUGUGUUGUGUAUUUUCUAAUGUUCAUCACCACAACACUAUUGUCGAUGGAGUAAAAUAGUCUUGCUGUGGCAUGUUUCAGCCAACUGUUGAUAUCAAGGGGAUGUAGCAAUAUUUGCGCCUAACAGUUCUGUUUAAUGAUACAUUUCUCUCAGCAUCAACUUCAUUGCCAUGGUCAGCAGGGAUCCCACCAACUGGGAAAGUGCUUUAAAAUAAAAUAAAAUAAAAUAAAAUAAGUGAUUUGCCAUGAAAAAACGUUUGUUUAUUUAAAAGGUGAGAAUGCCAUGUAUGAACCAGAACCUCCCGUCACUGGAACAGCUUCUUCCCUCAUUCCUGUGAAGCCCAUGUUCAGUGAGUGGUGCAGUCCCCUGCACUACCACCCUAACAAUUCACCAUUCACCAAACCUAACCAUCCAAAGCACACGGCCAACCUUAACCAGGACUCUCAACCAAAAGGUUCAACGCCGAAGAGCCUCACAAGGUGGUGUUUUCCCAAAAUUCUACCUCACAAGGAUAAAUACGCUUAAACACACAGACUAAGGUCCAUCCACCAAUGGACUUUAUUCCAGUGAAUGUUGACAGUGAGACCAAGGCUCAUUGCUGAAUUGUUGUUGUCUUUGUACCAUCUAUCUGUUGUCUUUGUACUUUAAUGCACCAUGGAUUCCUGCAGCCAUGCAGUGCACAUGCAUAUGUGCAACGCUGUAGUUAUACAUUGUUGUACCAACAUAUACAGAUUGAUGUUUAUAUGUUGUUUUGAUGUUGAAUAGCAGCUGGUUCAGUCUCCUGAAAGGAACCAUUUCAGAUCCAGUUUCCGCCCAGAACUGCGCUUCAUCCAUGGGUUAUUCAGAUGAAACACUGUCACAAAAGAUGACAUGUAUAAUGAGAUUAGAUAAGAUAAAUAGAGAAGAGAAAUGCCACAAUCUUAUUAUGCUCUUAACUUAGAAAACAUGCCUCCACAACGCUAGCGAUUGUGCAUCAGAUUUGGGAAGCCAGGAGGUGGGGGGUCAGUGUUCUGGUUAAUGAUUAACAUUGGAAGCUGUUUGCAGAUUUAUUGGACCUUCUCUGGUUGGAGCUCAUUCCUGCGACAAGAGGACAACAAUGAGGACUUCACUGCUGCUGUUAGUGCUGCUGACCCUCACUUCAGGAAUUCAGAAUCCAGUGCUAUGGUGAGGAUCACCUGAUGGUUAACAAUAUGAUCCUGGAUUGCAAGAGUCAAGUCGAGCAGGCUUGUUACACCAGAGUUGACACUGGAGAUAAAGGCUGCACUCGGCUGGAAAACUGCU